ACCAGCGGAGGGAUCAUUACCGAGUUUACAACUCCCAAACCCAAUGUGAACCAUACCAAACUGUUGCCUCGGCGGGGUCACGCCCCGGGUGCGUCGCAGCCCCGGAACCAGGCGCCCGCCGGAGGGACCAACCAAACUCUUUACUGUAGUCCCCUCGCGGACGUUAUUUCUUACAGCUCUGAGCAAAAAAUUCAAAAUGAAUCAAAACUUUCAACAACGGAUCUCUUGGUUCUGGCAUCGAUGAAGAACGCAGCGAAAUGCGAUAAGUAAUGUGAAUUGCAGAAUUCAGUGAAUCAUCGAAUCUUUGAACGCACAUUGCGCCCGCCAGUAUUCUGGCGGGCAUGCCUGUCCGAGCGUCAUUUCAACCCUCGAACCCCUCCGGGGGGUCGGCGUUGGGGAUCGGGAACCCCUCAGACGGGAUCCCGGCCCCGAAAUACAGUGGCGGUCUCGCCGCAGCCUCUCCUGCGCAGUAGUUUGCACAACUCGCACCGGGAGCGCGGCGCGUCCACGUCCGUAAAACACCCAACUUUCUGAAAUGUUGACCUCGGAUCAGGUAGGAAUACCCGCUGAACUUAAGCAUAUCAAUAAGCGGAGGAA
rnacentral:rRNA from 1 species